GACGAACGCUGGCGGCGUGCUUAACACAUGCAAGUCGAGCGGUAAGGCCCUUUCGGGGGUACACGAGCGGCGAACGGGUGAGUAACACGUGGGUGACCUGCCCUCAGCUCUGGGAUAAGCCUGGGAAACCGGGUCUAAUACCGGAUAUGACUCCAUGACGCAUGUUGUGGGGUGGAAAGCCUUGUGCGGCUGAGGAUGGGCCCGCGGCCUAUCAGCUUGUUGGUGGGGUGAUGGCCUACCAAGGCGACGACGGGUAGCCGGCCUGAGAGGGCGACCGGCCACACUGGGACUGAGACACGGCCCAGACUCCUACGGGAGGCAGCAGUGGGGAAUCUUGCGCAAUGGGCGAAAAGCCUGACGCAGCGACGCCGCGUGAGGGAUGACGGCCU
rnacentral:rRNA from 1 species